CUGAAGAGCUGGUCUCACUCCCACUGUGCCACCUCCAACAGCACAGAGUCUGUUUCCAGGCAGCAGGCAAGCAGGGCUUGAGAACUUUCCCCAGGCUACCCGCCUCCCAGCUGUGAAAGAAAAGGACUUUAGUUCUUCCCCCACCUGUGGAAUCUGCUGGCUGGAUUCAUGCCCUCCAGCAAGUUCUGGCCAGGAGGCUUCUCACCUGGUUCAAAUUGUUACAAAGUUCAGCUGGAGACUUCCUUCUCCCUGUGGCAUUUUCCCCAUACCUCUGGACACCCUCCUGAAGGAUCCCUGUGGUGCCAGGCAUGAAUGGCCUGCUUGGGGACCCAAUGAGUUCCCAGGACCCUUCCUGCUGCUUCUUCUACCCUUGUAUUUUGCUUGGCUGUCUAAAUUGACUCAGCUCCAGGAUCCCUUCGUUUGAGGUAGGAUAUGGAAUCGCAUCCACUCUGAUUUGUUGCCAGCAGUGUUCUCCAACUUAAUUAUCCUCUGUGAUCCACACUAAAGUAUUUUGAAGAAUAACAAAGCUCUCCAAGGGUCUUAAUACAGCUGCCUCGGCAACAUGGCCUCAUGGUUUUUGGAUUUAAUGGGAGAGCUGGUGUCAACAACUUUUUCAAUCCAGAUGCUCUGUGAUCUGUGUGCUUUGAAGGAAAGGAGAGGAAGUGCUGUGUGUUUCAACUGAAGGACUCUAUUGGUAAUUCUUUGAUAUCCAGGAGGCCUGCAUUAUUGUUGUCGAGUUCAAAAUCAUCUUUCAAAAUCAAGAAUUGACAUCAGUUCAUUACCCACGGGUGAGUACACACAUACACACACAUGCACACACACACCAUAUUUACACAUAGGUGCUGAGAAUCUGUUCAGUGAUAUAUUUGCAAAUAAUCUUCAAAAAUAUGAUUUUCAUAUUUGUGUGGACCUAUUUAUGCAUUUCCUCAUUCCUCAUAUCAAUUAACCUAUUAACCAAGAAUUACAAGAAUAUAGAAAGGAAGAAUGAGA
rnacentral:lncRNA from 1 species